AUUGAACGCUGGCGGCAUGCCUUACACAUGCAAGUCGAACGGCAGCACGGGAGCAAUCCUGGUGGCGAGUGGCGAACGGGUGAGUAAUAUAUCGGAACGUGCCCAGUCGUGGGGGAUAACGUAGCGAAAGCUACGCUAAUACCGCAUACGAUCUAUGGAUGAAAGCGGGGGAUCGCAAGACCUCGCGCGAUUGGAGCGGCCGAUAUCAGAUUAGGUAGUUGGUGAGGUAAAGGCUCACCAAGCCGACGAUCUGUAGCUGGUCUGAGAGGACGACCAGCCACACUGGGACUGAGACACGGCCCAGACUCCUACGGGAGGCAGCAGUGGGGAAUUUGGACAAUGGGCGCAAGCCUGAUCCAGCAAUGCCGCGUGCAGGAUGAA
rnacentral:rRNA from 1 species